AGUGAACGCUGGCGGUAGGCCUAACACAUGCAGGUCGAACGGCAGCGCAGUAAGAGCUUGCUCUUACGGGUGGCGAGUGGCGGACGGGUGAGGAAUACAUCGGAAUCUACUUUUUCGUGGGGGAUAACGUAGGGAAACUUACGCUAAUACCGCAUACGACCUACGGGUGAAAGCAGGGGAUCUUCGGACCUUGCGCGAUUGAAUGAGCCGAUGUCGGAUUAGCUAGUUGGCGGGGUAAAGGCCCACCAAGGCGACGAUCCGUAGCUGGUCUGAGAGGAUGAUCAGCCACACUGGAACUGAGACACGGUCCAGACUCCUACGGGAGGCAGCAGUGGGGAAUAUUGGACAAUGGGCGCAAGCCUGAUCCAGCCAUACCGCGUGGGUGAAGAAGGCCUUCGGGUUGUAAAGCCCUUUUGUUGGGAAAGAAAAGCAGCAGGUUAAUACCCCGCUGUUCUGACGGUACCCAAAGAAUAAGCACCGGCUAACUUCGUG
rnacentral:rRNA from 1 species